GCCUGGGUGGCUCAGUCGGUUAAGUGUCUGACUUCGGCUCAGGUCAUGAUCUUGCUGUGGGUUCGAGCCCCGCGUCGGGCU
rfam:Felis catus isolate Cinnamon breed Abyssinian chromosome A3, whole genome shotgun sequence.